UACGGGGGGGGCAAGCGUUGUUCGGAAUUACUGGGCGUAAAGGGCUCGUAGGCGGCCAACUAAGUCGGACGUGAAAUCCCUCGGCUUAACCGGGGAACGGCGUCCGAUACUGGAUGGCUUGAGUUUGGGAGAGGGAUGCGGAAUUCCAGGUGUAGCGGUGAAAUGCGUAGAUAUCGGGAGGAACACCAGUGGCGAAGGCGACUACCUGGCCUGUUCUUGACGCUGAGGCGCGAAAGCUAGGGGAGCAAACGGG
rnacentral:rRNA from 1 species